AUAAGACUCUCGGCAAUGGAUAUCUAGGCCCUCGCAUCGAUGAAGAACGUAGCAAAAUGUGAUACUUGGUGUG
rnacentral:rRNA from 1 species